rnacentral:rRNA from 1 species
GACGAACGCUGGCGGCGUGCUUAACACAUGCAAGUCGAACGAUGAAGCCGGAGCUUGCUCCGGUGGAUUAGUGGCGAACGGGUGAGUAACACGUGAGCAAUCUGCCCUUGACUCUGGGAUAACUGCGGGAAACUGUAGCUAAUACCGGAAACGACACCUUGGGGCAUCCCAGGGUGUGGAAAGAAUUUCGGUCAAGGAUGAGCUCGCGGCCUAUCAGCUAGUUGGUGAGGGAAUGGCUCACCAAGGCGACGACGGGUAGCCGGCCUGAGAGGGUGACCGGCCAAACUGGAACGGAGACACGGUCCAGACUCCUACGGGAGGCAGCAGUGGGGAAUAUUGCACAAUGGGCGAAAGCCUGAUGCAGCAACGCCGCGUGAGGGAUGAAGGCCUUCGGGUUGUAAACCUCUUUUAGCAGGGAAGAAGCGAAAGUGACGGUACCUGCAGAAAAAGCACCGGCUAACUACGUGCCAGCAGCCGCCGUAA